rnacentral:rRNA from 1 species
GUGGGGAAUCUUAGACAAUGGGGGAAACCCUGAUCUAGCCAUGCCGCGUGAGCGAUGAAGGCCUUAGGGUUGUAAAGCUCUUUCAGCUGGGAAGAUAAUGACGGUACCAGCAGAAGAAGCCCCGGCUAACUCCGUGCCAGCAGCCGCGGUAAUACGGAGGGGGCUAGCGUUGUUCGGAAUUACUGGGCGUAAAGCGCGCGUAGGCGGACCAGAAAGUUGGAGGUGAAAUCCCAGGGCUCAACCUUGGAACUGCCUUCAAAACUCCUGGUCUGGAGUUCGAGAGAGGUGAGUGGAAUUCCGAGUGUAGAGGUGAAAUUCGUAGAUAUUCGGAGGAACACCAGUGGCGAAGGCGGCUUUCUGGACGGUGUCUGACACUGAGGCGCGAAAGCCAGGGGAGCGAACGGGAUUAGAAACCCUUGUAGUCC